CUUCUGCCUAGCCUAUGUGUAAAUCCAGUUAAAUUCACUGCCAUUGUAAAUUCACUGUUCAGUCUCUUAAGGGACGAAAUAGUUGCUCAGCUGUGCUCGUGAACUUCGUUUCCAUGACGACCAAGUCACUCAAACUCAGCUGCAUCUCAGCCAUCGGCAAAAACCUCUCAUUACAUUUUCAAAUUACAUCUUGCCUUCAUCAAACAGCGCUUUGCAUCUUUGAUAAGAGUCUGGUGAAAUGUUAUGGCGGAGAGGCUUCAAACACGUGGAGAGCACAGGUCAAAUGCAGAAAUGCUUCCUCUGAUCUCGAGAGCCUCAAUCCUCUCAGGGAUCCGUAAUCCAUGUCCUUAUAUGUCCCCAACCAUUUCUGAUUAGUUCUCAUCUGGGAAAUCACACAGUGGCCGGAUUCCACAUCCAGCAAUCAGGAUUAAUGCCAUGGAAUAUCAAAAUGGACUAUGAUACUUUUAACUGUGUGCUAUUUGUGGAGAUGAGCUCUUGUGACAGCUGACUGUAUAGCAUGACACGCAUCUGCUGUGAAGAAAGCAUUAAGACCAUUAAAACUGAUACAUUUUACAAGUUUUGAUGUUUUUUUGUCACCUAAUAAGAUCUACAGGUGAUUAUUUUAUUUAUAUAACAAUAAAAUACAUUAUUUCAAUGGCA
rnacentral:lncRNA from 1 species